rnacentral:rRNA from 1 species
AGCAGCCGCGGUAAUUCCAGCUCCAAUAGCGUAUAUUAAAGUUGUUGCAGUUAAAAAGCUCGUAGUUGAAUUUCGGGGUCAGCAGGUUGGUCGUGCCAAUGGUAUGCACUGGCCUUGGUGAUUCCUCCCUCUUGUAGAACCGUAAUGCCAUUAAGUUGGUGUUGCGGGGAAACAGGACUGUUACUUUGAAAAAAUUAGAGUGUUUAAAGCAGGCUAACGCCUGAAUACAUUAGCAUGGAAUAAUGAAAUAGGACGAUCGAUCCUAUUUUGUUGGUUUCUAGGAUUGACGUAAUGAUUAAUAGGGAUAGUUGGGGGCAUUAGUAUUCAAUUGUCAGAGGUGAAAUUCUUGGAUUUAUUGAAGACUAACUACUGCGAAAGCAUUUGCCAAGGAUGUUUUCAUUAAUCAAGAACGAAAGUUAGGGGAUCGAAGACGAUCAGAUACCGUCGUAGUCUUAACCAUAAACUAUGCCGCUAGGGAUCGGAUGAUGUUAAUUUUUAAUGACUCAUUCGGCGCCUUAC